AACGCUGGCGGCGUGCCUAACACAUGCAAGUCGAACGGAUGAAGGGAGCUUGGCUCCCUGAGUUAGUGGCGAACGGGUGAGUAACGCGUGAGCAACCUGCCUUUCAGAGGGGGACAACGGUUGGAAACGACCGCUAAUACCGCAUGAAACAGUCGGACCGCAUGAUCUGACUGUCAAAGAUUUAUCGCUGAAAGAUGGGCUCGCGUCUGAUUAGAUAGUUGGUGGGGUAACGGCCUACCAAGUCGACGAUCAGUAGCCGGACUGAGAGGUUGAACGGCCACAUUGGGACUGAGAUACGGCCCAGACUCCUACGGGAGGCAGCAGUGGGGAAUAUUUGGGGCAAUGGGGGAAACCCUGACCCAGCAACGCCGCGUGAAGGAAGAAGGCUUUCGGGUUGUAAACUUCUUUUACCGAGGACGAAGAACGUGACGGUACUCGGAGAAAAAGCCACGGCUAACUACGUGCCAGCCGCGGC
rnacentral:rRNA from 1 species